GCCUGCCUAGCUCAAUCGGAUAGAGCGUCAGACUCUUAGUGAGCCUGAAAUGGCGAGCGUAAUCUGAAGGCUGCGAGUUCGACCCUCGCGGUGGGCU